AUUUGAUGGAGGCCCUUGCGAUGCUUGCACGGGGCCGGAGUUAAUUUUGUGUGCCUUGAAUUCAUCACAGCAGACGACAAAGAGACGAUUCUCCUCCCCUUCAUACGAAAUACCGCUGCCCCUGCAUCUGUCAUGUCCAACAAAGGUCACCGCCCACGCCCUGAGAUUUUCUCCCAUUUUGAGUUCUCCGGGCUUUAUCUGCAAGACUUUUAAUUUUAUACCGAGUGGGGCAUCCAGCCAUGUGUUCAGUUCAUAGAGAUCCAAUCGGUCGGUUUCAUUACUUUUCGGAAAUUGAAUUGAAAUAUCUCCGUUUGUAAACCACUUUGCCCGGUAUGUAGCGCAUGACUUAAGCUUUUCGGUUAAAUUGUUUGCUAGAUCUUCGAUAAGCCCUCUGUGUAGUCUCUUCCUGGACAUGCGUUCUCACGAUGUGCUGACGAUCUGUUAUACCUAAUUCUGGAUUUCAUUUACAGCUGCGACCCGCGAACAAGUUUGUAAUCUGCCCCACUGCCAAACCAAUGUACAAUGUUCGCAUCUCUUCCUGAACUUGGACGAGUAUUUUGUCCCAUCUUCCAUGUAUCCGGAUGGCCUCGAAGACCGACUGGUUUUCCCGUUCCGAGGCUUUGGAUUGCGGUGCAUAGGCUGGGUAUAUGGUAUAUAUAUGGUAUGGUCGUAAGAAAUCCAAAUAUAGUUUCUACAUUGGUCGAUCAGUGAUAACUUCGGCUCCUAUGAGCUGGGGUGUCGCCUGCUGAUUCGCUAUUAUGGGCCUGUUGUAUUAAAGCUUGUCAAUUGCUCUGGAAUCCACAAAUUCGGGCAUCAUGCGCUAAAACAGCAAAUAGUCCUCUACCCGCAUUCUUUGCAGGUAUUCUUUAUUGCUGAAUUCUGUCGUCUCGAAAUUCAAGCAAUCCACCUGGUUUAACUUGAACUGUCUGGAUAACAUGUCUUUACCCUCUCGGUGCUCCGAUUUCGCUUUGGCUGGCGUCGCAUUGUAUGAAAAUACGUCGUUUAAAAUCCUUAUUUACUAAAACCGGACCGACCGUGAGUGCUAAAUUUAACUUUCAAAACUCUUUUCUCCUCCUAGACAGCCUGUAAGCGGUGCCGAAAGUCCGGAGAAGUUUACGAAACUUCGUAGCUGCCUUAUCGCCGUAGGUUCGGUUAGUAAGUAUCCGACUCCGAUUAUAAACCCAAAAAGAAUUUGAAACCAAAUGGUAAUUUUUUAAUCCUAUUGUUAAAUUUGCUUUUUUUUGCGACUUUCCCAAAGACUACUACAGUGUUCGUCAAAUGUCUUCGAAAUAAUGAGGAGGUUAUCCAGAUAGACGAUUACAUGGCUGCGUAGCUUCUGCGGGA